rnacentral:misc_RNA from 1 species
AAACUCCUCGCGGAAACAGACCAACGAAGAAAGCGCGCGCUAUGUUCCUUGGAUCUAUGAUGGACGCUGCACAAUGGGUGAAAUUAUCCUCGGUGUCGGCGAUGAGUUUCGUCGACUUGACGACAGUUCUGGUUUUUAUUGUCGUGUUUUUGAGUCUUCUUUUUCUGAAUUGGACCCCAUCAACAGACAUUCCUGGACCAUUUGCUCUACCUCUUGUAGGAAAUUUGAUUCAGUUCAUCAGAAUGGGUAGAAAGAGACACAUUAAACUCAUGUCACUGCACAAGAAGUAUGGGGACGUAUUCCGUAUGUAUAUUGGACCGUAUUUGGUGGUAUUUAUCUGCGGGUAUGAGAAUAUUCAUGAUGCAUUUGUGAAGCAUGCGGCUCAGUUUACAAACAGACCUAGCUGGCUUCGUGAUAUCGAACGGAGGAUAAAACGCAACGGGCAUGGUCUUGUUUGGGCAAAUGGAGAGCAUUGGAAGAAGGUCCGUCGGUUUGCCCUGCAUAGUAUGAGGGAUUUGGGUGUCGGCAAGAAAUCGAUCGAAGAAGUCAUUCAGGACGAAGCCAAGACGCUGACCAAUAUAUUUGCCUCUAAAGAAAAUCAGCCAAUCACCGACGUCAAACGAAUGAUGACGACAUCCAUUAGUAACGUCAUACAUCACGUUGUAUUUGGGUUUAGGUAUUCACACACGGAUGAGAAGUUUCAAAGCCUGAUAGAGGCACUAGAUACGGUAUUCAAAGGACCAGGGCCAAUAAUAGCUUCACUGCCCGGAUUUUGUCAAAUAGGAAUGGGAAGCGGGGUUAGCCAAAGAAUGAAAGCACAACAAGUAUUGCUAGAAUACACAAAAUCUCAAAUAGCAGAGCAUGAGAAAACAUUUGAUGAAAACAACUUGAGAGACUUCAUCGACGUCUACAUUCAAGCCGAAAAACAAGAUGGCGAAUCCAAAGGAAAAGGUUGUCGGCGUUGAUAGGGAGGUUCGUUACUCAGAUAAACCAAGUCUACCUUACGUAGAGGCCACACUUUUAGAAGUACUCAGAAUAGCAAAUAUAGCUUCUUCAUCUGUACCGCACACGGCAACGGAAGAUGUCGACAUAGCAGGUCAUCGAAUUCCCAAAGACUCCAUCGUGUUGGGUUUUCUCUCCACGUCGCAUUUAGAUGCCAAAAAUUUCUGCCAGCCACGCGAAUUCCGUCCGGAGAGAUUUAUUGACGAUGUUACAGGGAAAGUUUGCAAGAAAGACCAACUGAUUCCUUUCUCAACGGGACCAAGGAUAUGUCCCGGGGAAUCCUUAGCUAAGACUGAAAUGUUUUUAGUUUUCUCAAACCUCGUCCAAAAGUUCCGUUUCUGUAAAGUGUCGGAGACUGAUGAAUUUGAUCUGGAAGGAUUAACAGGCAUAACAACAUUUGCAUGCCCAUAUAGAUUAAAAGUUGAAAUCCGUUAAUAUACAUGUAAUUCAUUACGCCACAACACGAUAUAUAUUGAGUGUCUUUGUAUAAAUUGUUAUGUGCUGUUGAAAACAUUGUUAAAAGUACCUGUGCUAUUAAUGGCUGUCACAUUGAUAUUAAUGAUGUUUUGAUAUUAUAAUACAUUUGUAAAUAAUAAUGAUAAGUAUGGUAAGAACCUAGAAAGAUUUUAGAAAUUGCAUUCGAACCAUGCCUUUUUAUUUACCAUAAUCAUGAAUAUGCAUGUACAUUAAAGGGACAUAGUCACGAUUUUGGUCAAAA